rnacentral:lncRNA from 10 species
AGGGACUGUGACAUAUCACUGGGCCUAUAACCUAGGUAAUGUGACUCUCCUUUUCUUCCUGUGUUCUGUCCCAGUGAAGAUUAUGACAAAUUUCUGGGCCAGUCAGGUGGUUUGGUGACUCUCAAACCAUGAUUCAGCAGACCUGUGAGGCUGUGAGUUCCCUAUCAGAACACAAUCUGCAGAUGGAGUCUUGCUCUGUUGCCCAGGCUGGAAUGCAAUGAUGCAAUCUCAGCUCACUGCAACCUCCAUCUCCCAGAUUCAAGUGGUUCUCCUGCCUCAGCCUCCCAAGUAGUUGGGACUACAGGUGCUGCCUUCAGGAGGGAUUAUGACAUAUGCCUGGACCAAACACCUGGAUGACGUGACACUCCUGCAUGAGCCUUGCCCUAAGGGGAUAUUUUUACAUGUUGGUGAACUCAGCAUCUAGGUGAUGUGACUCUACUCUUCUGCCUGGGCCCUGCCCACAGAGGGCAUUGGAACAUUUCACUUGGCUCAGCACCAAGAAGAUGUUACUCUCCUACCUGGACCUCUCCCACAGGGGACACCUAGAUGAUAUGAUUUUUCUUCCUGGUUCCUGCCCAGACUUCAAAUUGUGAUGUAUAUCUGGGCCCAAAACACAGGUAAGGUAAUAACUCUCAUAGCUAGACCAAGACAAUAGAGAGAUUUUGACUUUUGUAGCUAGGCUUAGAACAAUGGGUACAUAUUCCUGGCCCAGCUCCCAGGUGAUAUGACCCUCCUACCUAGUUAGUGCUCACAGGUGUGAUUGUUACCUAUGUUUGGACUCAGUUCAUUGUGAGCAUUGUGAUCACUCAUACCUGGACCUAGCCACAAAAAAAUAUGUUGACUCUUAUACCUCAAAAUAGGAGACUCAACCCACAAGAGGUGUUGACUCUUACACCUUUUGCUGGAAAAUGUCCAGGAUUGUGAAUUUCUGCUAUUGAUUGGGUCCAGGUAUGAGUUUCAUUGCUGUGCCUGAGCUGAGUUCAAAAUAAGUCACUAUCUCACCUGUGGCUGCAUCUACAUAUGACAGUCACAAUUCCAAGUCUGGAUUGCAUUUGUGUAUGAGACUUAGGACCUCACCAGUAAGCACUGUCUAUGUGUGAGGGUGACAAUUCUAUCAGCUGGAAGUGCAUAUGAGAGUCACAAUGUCACCUUUGUUCUUGGUCCUGUUAUGACAUUGUAUCACUUGAAGGCUUUAUCCAGACCCAGGACCUUGCCUGUUGCCCUAAGCCUAGAUAUCAGAGUCAAAAUCUGUUCUCUUAGCUGGAUCCAGGUAUGAGAGUCAACAUCUCACCAGUGAGCUGUGACCAUGUAUAUGUCACAAUUUCACCUGUGGGCAGGAACCAGACAUGAGAGUCAUAUCACUUGGGUGCUGGGUAAGUGAUACAUUACAAUUCUUACUUUGGGCAGGGUCCAGGCAACAGAGGAGAGACACAUCACCUAUAUGAUUGGCCCAGCGAUGGGUGAAAAUCCUCUCUGAGAGCAGGGCCCAUUCAGGAGAGUCAUAUCACCUAGCUGCUUGGCCAAGUGAAAUAUCACAAUGCACCCUUUGCACAGGGCCAAUACAGGACAGUUACAUCACCAGGGAGCUGGGUCCAGCUAUAUGUCACAAUUCCUUUUGUGGAAAGUGUCCAGGCAGAAAAGCAGAGUCACAUCACCUAGCCAGUGGGCCCAGAGAGAUGCCACAAUGCCAUUUGUAGGCUGGGCCCUGGGAGAAGAAUAACAUCACCCAGUUCUGGGCCCAGCAAUAUGUUGUGAUCCCAACUGGAAAAAGUUUCCAGACAAGAGAGGAGAAUCACAUCAUCAUGAUGAUAAGCCAAGAGAUUUCACAAUCCCCCCCUCUGCACAUGUCCCAGGCAGAAGACCUGAAUUACCUUUUUACUUAGGCCAGUAAUGUCACAGUGCUUCCUCAGGGCAGGGCACAAACAAGAUAGGACAGUCACAUCAUUAAGUGCUAGACUUAAUGCUAGAUAUGUCAUAACCUUACUUGUGGGCAGGAUCCAGGAAGGAGAGAUUUAUGUCACCUAGGUGCUCAGUAAAGAGAUAUAUUACAAUUACAAUUCCUUUGAGGGAAGUGGCCAGGCAAAAUAGUCACAUCACCUAGGUGCUUGGCCCAGGUAUAAGUCACAAGAUAUCUGUGUGUUGAGCCCAGAAGGACUAUCAAAUUACGAAGUUUCUACGUAGAAGUGCAUGUCACAGACACCUGCAGGAAGGCCCAGGAAUGAGACUCCCAAUUCCACACAUUUUCCCACUCCAAGUGUAAGAGUCAACAACUCCUGAGACUUAGGCCCAAGUACAUGAGUCACAAUCUCAACAGUGGAUUGCAUCCUGCCAUGAGAGCCCCAAUCCCUUCUCUAAGCUGUGUUCCAGUAGAGGAGUCACAACAUCAAUGGUGUGCUGAAUCCUGGUUGGAGAGUUCCCACUUCACCUGUGGACUGGAUCUGUAUAUGAGAGUCUCAAUUCCAGCUCUCAACUGCCCCUGGGUGUGAGAUUCAGGACCUCAAUUGUGAGCUGUGUACACAUGGACAUGUAACAAUUUCUACUUUUGGCUGUGUGUUCAUACAAGACUCAAUCUCAUCUGUGUUCUCGGCCCUGUUAUGACACUCUUUGUACCACCCAUGGGAUUUAUUCAAUACGCAUGGGUGUCAUAAUCCUCUGUGAUCUUCAUACAAGUAGAAGACCCAGGACCUUACCCAUGGCCCUAGGCCUAUCUAUGAGAAUUGACAUUUUUCCUCACAUUUUUAAUUUUAACAAAUAAGUUAUUCUCCUGUCAGUUCAGAUUCAUCAGGACAUUGAAUCAUAUUCAGAAGAAUUAAAACUGAAAGACUAAUAGGUUUGUUAAAGCAAUGCAGGUUGUCAUACUAAUAAACCCUAAAAUUUCAAAGGCUUAGCAA